rnacentral:rRNA from 1 species
UACGUAGGGGGCAAGCGUUGUCCGGAAUCAUUGGGCGUAAAGAGCGUGUAGGCGGCCAGAUAAGUCCGCUGUGAAAUCUCGAGGCUCAACUUCGAGCUGUCGGUGGAAACUGUCUGGCUAGAGUCCGGAAGAGGAGAAUGGAAUUCCUGGUGUAGCGGUGAAAUGCGCAGAUAUCGGGAGGAACACCAAUGGCGAAGGCAGCUCGCUGGGACGGUACUGACGCUGAGACGCGAAAGCGUGGGGAGCAAACAGG